CGAGGUUGGGCACAUCUUCUGAAGUGUGGUGUCUGCGAUACUGUCCUGGAUAAGUGCGUGUGCAAGACGUGGACCUGAUUUACUUGACUCUGUAUACACAAAAAGUGACACAAAAACAUUUGGAUGUUUGCAUAGAGCGGGGUAUACCAUGACAGUCACCUUCAACUACAGGGUGUGUCCAGAGGGGGUCCAAGUCUCAUCCUGCUCAUGUGUAGAGAUGAAAAAUAAAGUGGUAAAGUCGAGAUUACUACGACUCAGAUUGAAGUACAAGGAAGAUGGCUGAGUUACGGAAUGUAUUGGAUAUUGAAAAAAUGGGUCUACUGACCUAUUGACCUUGGCUCGGGGAUAGCCUUUUAACACACACAGACAAAAUUCUGGCAUUUUCAUCACGGUUUAGAGACCAGUGAAUUACUAAGGUAUCUUUUUCUAUGGAUACGCCCUGCAGUUGUCCAGAAUCAGCUUCCAGCCAAUAGAUCUUCAUACCACGUUAAAGACACGGAUCUUAAGCAUGCAAGUUUCUGGUUUAGUUCGGAAACGCGACAAUGUUUUUUUUUCCGUUUGGCCGUCGUGGCUGAAGAGCCCAAGAGUAAGAUAAUUCAACUAUUGAGGGGUAAAAUGCUAACCUUAAGGCUGUGCGCAACUCGUCUUUUCAGAGUUUUUUUCUUCUCGGACCAUUUUUUCUUGGCAAGUUUUUUACAUGCGAUGUGCAGGUCAUUUAGCUGAUCGGCCAGAUCAGAUUGCUACAAGGAUAUAACACGGAGUAUUGUUAGGCAUUUUAUAUGCGACAUGUAGAUCAUUUAACAGAUCAGAUUGUUUAGAUUUAUAAAACAUACAGUAUAUCGUAAAUGAUAUUUUUGCACUCAGCUUUAAAAAAGCGCCCCCUCCAAUCAAAAAGGUAAGAAUAGCAGAACGCGAGAUUGUGAGAACAUACUGAGCAUUAAGUUGUUUUUAAUUCCUCACUGUUCUAAUAUUGAGCUUUAAAACAAUAUAUUUCAGACUUAAGCUAAGGUCUGAAUUUUAAAUCUAGCGCCCUGCUUUAAAUAAGCUCCCCCCCAUCGUAGGCUCGGUGGUUUCGGUGCGCCCGCGAUCCUUUCCCAUUCCACUUACCUCUUGAAAGUCCGUCGGUAAAUACGUUACCAUAAUUAUCACAACAAGAGUUUAAAACGGCGGCGGGAGGGUUCGAGAAAAUGUUUAACUCAGCGUUAGAAAAGUUCGGUUAAGAAGACUGUAGGCCCCAGCAAAAGCUUGCCGUGAAAGAGCUAUUUUCAGGCAGAAAAAAAAAAACGGUCCGCACAUCACGCAUAAUUAUCUCAGUUACGAUGUGACGUCACGAACAUGGUGCCUCGACCGUGCGCCCAGCCGUCAGUGGAGGAGCAAAGCGCGACGAAACCGAGCCUACCCCCAUUGCGAACAUAGGGAUUAGAUUAGUGCCAGGGGCGAUAAAACAGCAAUUACGGUACCAAGAGCUAUAUGCAGAGUAAUAUGAUUAUAUGAAGGAUGC